CCGCGAACGGGUGAGUAACACGUGGGUUACCUGCCCCGAUGAUUGGGACAACCCGAGGAAACUCGGGCUAAUACCAAAUGUGCUCCUGGCCGUAAUGGCCUUGAGGAAAGGAAGCUUCGGCCUCCGCAUCGGGAUGGGCCCGCGGCCCAUUAGCUAGUUGGUGGGGUAACGGCCUACCAAGGCGACGAUGGGUAGCUGGUCUGAGAGGACGAUCAGCCACACUGGGACUGAGACACGGCCCAG
rnacentral:rRNA from 1 species